GAUAAAUCGCCCAAAUGCAAACGAACAAAACCUCCACAAGCGCGCGGCCCAUUGUAGUAGCAAAAAAGAGCAACUUCUUUUUGUCUGCUGUUUGAAAUGCGAGCUAAAUGGUCAGGAAAGCUAUGCACCUGAAAAUAUAAUCUUCAGCAACAACCUCUCCAUUCCCACAAGAACACCAAAACAGCACAGAAAUAUCAAAAGGCUCAACUAAGUUGUGUUCUGCAUUAAUGAAUCAGUGUGGAAGGAAAACAAAGUUGGAAGAGGGAAGAGUGGUGAAUGAGACUGAACCAUAGAAACUUGAUAUUUGAGCUGGUAGGUCAUAGUUGAAGAUGGGUGUGGGGAACGGUCAGCUGGUCUGUGUCCUCCCGAGGCUCUGAUAAACAAGGAAAUGGAAAGUAAAUGUGACGGCCAAGUGUCAUUUAGGAGAGGCUUCAAGGAGACUAUGAACCCAGUGUGGCACUAAACUCUAGAGCAAAUGAACGGUGAGCACAUCAGCUGGUACACAUCAGAAGAAGGCAAAAAGAAAUGGACAGCAUAUCGACAGAAUCUCCUGUAGGAACUGCAUCUGUGUAUGACAAAAAUACCCUCCAUGGAUACUAGCCAGCAGUUUUAUUUCCUUCCUCAUAGAAGGUUAAAUACCCAUGAAGCUCUGAAAUACAGAAUUUUCCUUUUGAGAAUGGGUUUUGUUUUGAUAUGACUUGAAGCUAAGUGGCAACACCACUGAAUUUAUUACAUACGAAGGAGAAUUUCAAAGUUCAUGAAAGUGACAUUUAUGAGAAAAGCCUAAAAACGGUGGGGAGAAAGAACACAGAGGAAGAUUCACUGUAAUGAAAGGUGGACCAAAUGCUUUAAAAUUCUGCAUACAUGUGUCCUAUUGACCAGAAUCCUUUGUACCUGGCUGCCAUGAGAUCCAGGAGAUGCUGCCACCGGUCGUUGACCUUUCCAAGCUUGUAUUCAAUCUCAGAGGCUUUGCUUUCAUGGCUGGCUCGAGCAAGUCGUUCUCCCAUUUGCUGGAGCUGUAUUUUGUUCUCUUGGGCAACAGCAAUUUCCUCUUGAUAAUCCUGCAUAAUAAAUAGCAAUCACAGAGGUCAGAAA